AAUAACUUCGGGAAACCGAGGCUAAUACCGCAUAAUACCCACGGGUCAAAGGAGCAAUUCGCUUGAGGAGGGGGUCGCGGCCGAUUAGUUAGUUGGCGGGGUAAUGGCCCCACCAAGACGGUGAUCGGUAUCCGGCCUGAGAGGGCGCACGGACACACUGGAACUGAAACACGGUCCAGACUCCUACGGGAGGCAGCAGUGGGGAAUUUUGCGCAAUGGGGGAAACCCUGACGCAGCAACGCCGCGUGGAGGAUGAAGUCUCUUGGGACGUAAACUCCUUUCGAUCGGGACGAUUAUGACGGUACCGGAAGAAGAAGCCCCGGCUAACUUCGUG
rnacentral:rRNA from 1 species